AAACUAUUCAAGAGCCAAUUCAUUGACAGAAUGUUAUUUAAACAACAUCAACGGAAAGUUGAACUGCAGUGAGAGAAAAUCCAAUUCCAUCAAGCACAUUCAAGUCUUGUCUCAACAAUUUACACCAAGGUGUUCUACAAUGGUGCCAUUAUUUGCUCGGAUGUGUAUAGUAUCAGCCAUUAUCGUUGGAUAUAUGCUGUAUUUGAUGUAUCAAAAAGUAGCUAGGUCUAGGUCUAGGUGGUACAUGAGGACUGUUAUCUCUGGAACAAUUAUAGUCCUCAUCGCCAUAUUCAUGUAUUUCCUAUUUAAAUCUUAGAGCAUUAUUCACUCCAUGUCAAACGUGAAUAUUUGAUUUAGAAACAACAUUGUGAUAUCAAUAAUGUUCACUCCAUGAUUGGAAUUAUAUUACCUUUAUUGUG